rnacentral:rRNA from 1 species
AGAUUGAACGCUAGCGGGAUGCUUUACACAUGCAAGUCGAACGGCAGCGCGGACUUCGGUCUGGCGGCGAGUGGCGAACGGGUGAGUAAUAUAUCGGAACGUGCCCAGUAGCGGGGGAUAACUACGCGAAAGCGUGGCUAAUACCGCAUACGUCCUACGGGAGAAAGCGGGGGACCUUCGGGCCUCGCGCCAUUAGAUGAGCCUAGGUCGGAUUAGCUAGUUGGUGAGGUAAUGGCUCACCAAGGCGACGAUCCGUAACUGGUCUGAGAGGAUGAUCAGUCACACUGGAACUGAGACACGGUCCAGACUCCUACGGGAGGCAGCAGUGGGGAAUAUUGGACAAUGGCGAAAGCCUGAUCCAGCCAUGCCGCGUGUGUGAAGAAGGUCUUCGGAUUGUAAGCACUUUAAGUUGGGAGGAAGGUUUGUAACUUUAAUACGUUUGACUAACUUUAGACGUUUACCGAACAGAAAUAAGCAACCGGCUAACUUCGUAGCCAGCAGCCG